rnacentral:snRNA from 1 species
GUGCUUGCUUGGGUAGCACGCAGACUAAAAUUAGAAUGAUACAGAGAAGAGGAGAAUGGCCUCUGCUCAAGGAUGACACGCAAAAUCGUGAAGCGUCCCACAUUUGG